UUAACUGAACCCAAAUUGAUCUAAAAGUCAAAAGCGCACUCUCUUGCUUUGGCGAUUCAACCAACAAAGCCAAAAACCAAAACGCAUGAUUCAUCUCCGGUCACCGUUGGGAUCCCUCCGUCGUGAUUCAUCUCUAGUUACGGCCGCAGCUCCGAGGGUUUGAUUUAGUUUGGAUGGGAGGAAAAGGACUAUGUGCCUUGUAAUUGCAGGGUGGGAAUCCUCUGAACUUUAAGUUAGGGAAUGCUGCUUCUGUUAGUGUGCAGUCUACCUCACUCACUGAUCAACAUCAAGAACAGUUUGUGACCAGGUUGGCUACUCUUUUUUUCUUUCUUUCAUAUUUUGUUUUUCCUUCAUUUUUCAUCUGUUCAUGCAGUUUGUGUUAUGGGAUAUCUGAUGUGUAUGUUAAUUUUCUUGAUAUGCUAUAUCACUUUUUUCUUUUGCCCCCUCUUCGCGAAGCAAAAGGUAGUUUUGUAUUGACGGCCUCCCCUCAUGGUGACUCUGUCGACAGCUAGACCAGGCCCUCCUUCUAUCAAUGAGCCAAACACUGCUGAUAACCUCUUACUAUUUGAUGGUGAGAAUGAGUUGCCCGAAGGAGAAAAACGAUCUUUACAUUCAUAUAAAAGAAAUAAAAUUGCUCCUUCAGAACAGUCUUCUCAAAUUGGUGGGGGUCAAAAUGCUAAAGAGACCGAAGAAUCUGCUAUUUUUACCUCAUACACACGAAGAAACAGAUCCAGACCAAAUCAUGGUCCUCGGGGGGUUCAAGGGAUGUGAAGGGUUUUUUAUUGGAUACAAACAGACAAAAGGAUCGCAAUGUACCAUCUCUUUCUAAGCCAAAGCCUGCCAGUUCAAAUGGAGAGAUACCUGUUAAAGAUCCAACAACAAAUAGUGUUAGUGCUAGCGUUGGAUAAUGAAUCUGUGGGUCUUCAAGCUCGUCAAACAAAUAAUGUUAGUGCUAGCGUUGCUGCUGACAAAUUAGAUAUUACAUUGAAUAGAAACUUCAAAGAAGAUCAACGUAUUGUACCUUCUCAGGAUGAUACUGUACAGGACCCACUUGUCUUGGAAUCUGGCAAAGCUAGUGCAGAUGGGGAAAGGAACCCAGGAGCUUCAGGUGAACUUGAGCUUUCACCUUGUGUAGCUGCUGCACAACCUGGAAAUGAAUCUUAUCCUAGUCAGACAAAUGGUUUUGGCACUAUAAAAGUUGACAGGAAAAGUUCACCAGCCAAAGAUCAAAAUAGCAGUGUUGCAGCAGGCCUGAAGAGCGUUGAUCCAGAGCCCGGUUGUGCACAAACUAGUUUAGCUAGAGAUGUAAAUAAUGAUACCGACAUGUGUACUAAUACAAAAAAUGCUGAUGACAAUGAAAAUACUUCGGAACAAACUUUAUUUAACAAGAAACUAAGAUCAACUGGUUAUGAAGCUGUAAAAGAAUGGAGUGAGACCAACAUUGAUCAACGUGGUGCCACUGUUAAAAAUGAACAUGCUGCUAGUUUUGUAAACCAUUCUGGCUGUGGUAGUAUCAUAAAAAAUGAAGAAGACUUGAGUACGAGUAGUUCUUGCACGCCAAACAAGUUGAAGGAUUCUUCUAGUUUUAGAGGAGUGCAUGACAAUGAGAAUACUGUAUUGAAGGCUGAUAAAGAGGUAAGUGUUUGUCAUGGUGGAUCGUUCCAAUUCUACAAAGGAUGACAACUGUGAAAGGUUAAAGCUUUCUAAGGAUGUGUCAAUUUCUGCAAAUCCUCACAGUAAUAAGGCUGAUAAGGUUACUACUGCUGUGUCUGACUGUCAACCAUGUUCUCCGCUCCACUUGAAGUUAGCAGACAAGGCUCGUGAAGAUUCUAUUUUGGAAAGAGGCUCGUAUUAUAGAGGUAUUUAAUUUCUGAACCGAUUUCUAGUGAUUAGCAAUUUAUCAUUACUAUGGAGAAAUAUUACCCUCUAAAACUCUUCAGAGUUCUCUUUUAGUACAUUUUUCGAGUUAGUCUCAAAUGAAAGUGAGAGACCUAGCUUUCUCCUUCCCUUAUUUUUAAGGUGACCCCUAUUCCUUUCUCUUGCUCCUCAUUUUCCAUGAAGUCCCCUCUCAUCCCUUCUGAGUGAGGGUUGUAUGCAUCUAUUGAGAUACAUGUUUCAUUUUUAGCACAAUUUAACAUGUUUCUGGUAAGUAUCACAAAUAAUGAAAUCAGUAUUUUUCAUAGUUACCUUUAUAGUAGACUUUCAUUUUGAACUGUCAUUGGUUUCAUAUUGAGUACCUUUAUAUUUGUUAAUAGAUGGUAAUUUAAUGCCACAUAAGGGACAAGAAAAACUAUAUGUAAAAUUAAAAAAAAAAAAAUUGAACUUUCCUGGUGUACUUUUAAAGUGCUUGCCACUAUUAAAAAAGAGAAUUAGAUGCCUCAAACAUGUGUCAUCAAUUCUCCAUAUAUAUCUAAAGAUUAAUUUAACAACGAGGAGAACAAGUAUUCAUAAAGCAUAAUUCACAUGAGACACACUUACAACAAUUUAUAGAUAAAACAGACAAUUGAAAUAAAAUAGUCAACAUCAUGAGACACACUUACAACAAUUUAUACAUAAAACAGACAAUUGAAAUAAAAUAGUCAACAGAACGCGAAAAUAGAUAGCAAGCCUUAAUUUAAAUCGGGUCAAAUACACCUUUUGAUCAUUUAGUUUUGACAAAAAUACCGGAUUAAUCCUUUAAGUUUUAAAUAUGUCAUUUAAGUUGUUAGUUGAAUGCACGUUAUCAUUUUAAUGACCUAUUUAAAACUUAAAAAUUUUAAAAGUUUUGAAUAGAUGCAUUAUAUUAAAAACUUAAAUGACCUAUUUAAAAUUUAAAAAAUUUAAAGACUAACCCGGUAUUUUUGUCAAACUCAAAUAAUUUAAAAGAUAUUUGGCUUCUAAUUAUUAUGAAACUUAGGUUCUUAUACUAAUACUGACUAGGGACUCCCCAAAAACAUCAAUUUCAUCUGGUUGUCAUCACAAUAAAGACCCGGAGUUGUUUCGAUAGGUCUAUUUUCAAGCAGUUUUGUUAUUCGUUGAACUAACUUCAAAUUAGUGACAUUCCCUCUUGUUUCUUCGAUAACACGAAGAAAAGCUUGACUGAAAAACGAACUGUGUUCAAGUCUCUCUUCACAAAAUCCUCCUCUGCAAUCCUCAUUAGCUUGACAACUUGAUAUAAAUAUACCAAGUGGAUGAUUUGUGGGCCUUCCUAGUUUACAUACUUUAUUCCAAGGUUUCAACCCUUUUUCGGAAACCGUAGAUCCAAUCUUGCUAUGACCAACUAUUUCCUUUGCGCCUUCGAGUAGGCCUCCAGAUUUACAGCAGUCAGCAACAAACGUGAAGGAGCAUCCUUCAGGAACAGUUUGCCACAAAUGUCUAAUAGCCGAGUCUGCAUAACACAAGUAACAAUUUAAAAACAACACAUCAAAGAAUUUUUAUACAGCACAAUCCAAUAAAUAUUAAGUUUACUAUAAUUAUCAUAGUUUCUUUUUAAAUGGAAAAAUAUAUUUAUAGGCUCAAGUGCAGGAAAUGCGAAAGAAAUACAAAGUUCUCAAACUAAAUAAAUACAAAAAUGCAAUCAACUAAUAUAUAGUACAAGAUUGGCAAGAUUAGCUACCAACCCUUCACACAACGCCAUAUACUCUAACAUCAAACAUAACACAAAUUAUAAAUGACUAAUUAUAAACGCCAUAUACUCAAGUAUAAGACAUUUUCUAAAUUUUCACAUGUAUAAAUAAUUUCUUACAAGAAUAACCUGCAAUUCACUUGAUAUUAAUUUAUUAAACAAAACUCUACAUAAAUUCACUUUUUUUGUUAAUCUUUUUACAAGGGGAGGUAAUUUCUGAAACCAAUUUAUACAAAAAGUCUUCAUCUCAAUAUAUAUAUAUAUAUAAAUAGAAGAAAGAAAUAAACAUUACCUUCGAUCAUAGUGCCCCCAUGACAUCUCAUAUAUUCUUCUUGGCCUGUGUCAUUAUCGAAUGCUGUUGUUGUGCUUCCUCCAUGUCCCGCAAAGUAGAAAAAUAUUGUGUCUCCUGCCGAAGAUUUUUUUAUCAUUUUAGUUAGUUUUUUGCAUAUGUAUUCAUCAUUGAUCUGUUUUGUUGUUUUCUUUAUACGAAAAUCAUUUAAUGGAGGAGUAUUCAUUGUGCCUUUUGCAUCCACCACGAGCUUGACAGCAUUCGGAGCAAAACCAUAAUAGUAUGUUGGUGGGUUCCUUUUUAUAGUGUUGGUGGGUUCUUCAAGUGUAGGAGUUGGUGGUGCCAUUUACUAUACACAAUGCACAAGUUUUUUGUACACCAUUAGAUCAAUAAAGAGUACCAAUUUUAUCA